rnacentral:rRNA from 1 species
GACGAACGCUGGCGGCGUGCUUAACACAUGCAAGUCGAACGAAGUGGCGAACGGGUGAGUAACGCGUAAUCAACCUGCCCUUCAGAGGGGGACAACAGUUGGAAACGACUGCUAAUACCGCAUACUGACGGAGGGGAUUGCGUCUGAUUAGCUAGUUGUAGGGGUAACGGCCCACCAAGGCGAUGAUCAGUAGCCGGUCUGAUAGGAUGAACGCACACGUUGGGGCUGAGACACGGCCCAGACUCCUACGGGAGUCAGCAUGGGGGAAUCUUCGGCAAUGGACGAAAGUCAGACCGGGCAACGCCGCGGGAUUGAAGAAGGUUUUCGGAUCGUAAAACUCUGUUGUUAGAGAAGCGGUAUCUAACCAGAAAGCCACGGCUAACUACGUGCCAGCAGCCGCGGUAAUAC